rnacentral:lncRNA from 1 species
AUGAAAAGGAGCUAUUGGCCACUUGGCAACAUGGAUGAAUCUCAAAAUAAUUAUGCAUCAAAAGAUCAGACCAAAAUGGGAUUGCAUUUUAUGAAAUUAUUUUUAAUCUCUCUCUCUCUCUCUCUCUCUCUCUCUCUCUCUCUCUCUCUCUGUGUGUGUGUGUGUGUGUGUGUGUGUGUGUGUGUGUGUGUGUUACCACUAGAAGCAUGGAUACAUCAUUGGAAGUAUAAAAUACAGGAGAAAAGUUCAUUGGAAGAACGAUUCCAAAGAAGAGGACUCAGCAGUCAAAAUUAGUCAUGUGACCUGCCUCCUCCCAACUACACAAGCUAGAGUGGUCCUAACCAUACUCUUUCAAUGACAAAGAAUUGGAAUGAAGAGACCUGGGAUGACUAACAAGAAGGGGAUCAGCCUCUUAGAAGUUGCUUUUAUCAAGAAGUCAAUGACCGCUCACUGAGGUCCACAAACAAUUAAAAGCUGGGUGAAAGCCUGGAAUAUCUACUUCAGUUUGCUCCCUUUGGCCACCACCAUCCCUCUUCAAGUGGGCAUGGCGACCACUUAGGGAGCCCCUGUGGAGGCACUGGAGAUAGCCAGCCUAUUUCAUUCUGCUUCAGGGUUGAUGGCAUGAAGAACCAAUGUUCUCAAACAGCAUUUCCAAAAAUUGGCUAAACACAUUAUGGGGACAGUGGAAAACAUGAAGCAUGCUUUUGGACUUUAUGCGUAAGAAUUUGAAAACAGAUAUAUCAAAAUGUCUGGAAAAAUGAUAUUUUGAUAUAUUUCUCACUCUUAUGUCUUCAGUCGACAUAAAUAAGCCACCUGCCAGUUUUCAAUAGAAUUUGUAGAGCUGCAAACUGGCAUCCAAGUUAAAGAAUUUGCUCAUGUCCCUUUACUAAUUUUUCAUAGGUCCUGUCUUCCCCAGAGCAACGGCCUUGACUUAACAAUCAUUAUGUGUGUUUUCACUUAACGAGCAUUUGUGGGUGACUAUUUUCAAGA